rnacentral:rRNA from 1 species
GAUGAACGCUAGCGAUAGGCUUAACACAUGCAAGUCGAGGGGCAGCAUGGUCUUAGCUUGCUAAGACUGAUGGCGACCGGCGCACGGGUGCGUAACGCGUAUGCAACUUGCCUCACAGAGGGGGAUAACCCGUCGAAAGACGGACUAAUACCGCGUACACUUGGGAUAGGGCAUCCUGACCCAAGGAAAUGAAAUUCGCUGUGAGAUAGGCAUGCGUCCCAUUAGCUAGUUGGUGAGGUAACGGCUCACCAAGGCGACGAUGGGUAGGGGAACUGAGAGGUUGAACACCCAGAAUGGUACUGAGAAAAGGACGAGACUCCGAAGGGAGGCAGCAGUGAGGAAUAUUGGUAAAUGGGCGAGAGCCUGAAACAGCCAAGUCGCGUGAAGGAUGACUGUCUUAUGGAUUGUAAACUUCUUUUAUACGGGAAUAACAAGAGUAACGUGUGGCUCCCUGAAUGUACCGUAUGAAUAAGCAUCGGCUAACUCCGUG